ACAGCUGUCGUUGUGUAUGAAGAAAAAAACAAAGAGGAGUUGGAGUCAUGUGCUGUUUCAGAAAAUCCGUUUACUAUUGAAGACAACACGUCUGGUACACAUGAAAUAGCAGAAUUUGAGGCAAUGCUAGAUGAUAAUAUAAACGAAGAAGUGGAACUUUGUGUGGCUAUUGAAGAGCCAUUUUUUGUUGACGACGACACUUCUGUUAACAGUCACGCAGCGAGAUUUGGAGCAGUAGAAAAUAGUUGUUUGCUGAGUGAUGAUAGUUCAAAUGAAGAGGCUGCACAAAGUGAAAAGUUAUCAAACUGUGAUUCAGAUAACCAAGAAGAUAUUACAUGAAUCACUUGUGCAGGACAGUUAAGAGUUCUAUCACAACUUUUUCAUCAGUGUGAGAAUAGAUUUUUGUAUUUAAUUUACUGGAUGUGUCUUUUUUACAAUGUCUUUAUACGUUUAGGCUGCACAAAGUGAAAAGUUAUCAAACUGUGAUUCAGAUAACCAAGAAGAUAUUACAUGGAUCACUUGUGCAGGACAGUUAAGAGUUCUAUCACAACUUUUUCAUCAGUGUGAGAAGCGAUAAUAGAUAAU